AUUUACAAAGUGCAAUCCUCAUAAAAACCCAAAACCUUUUGAUUGUUCACGCGUUUGCAUAGGAUACAGCAAGCAUGAGCUUAGGGUCAAGCCUAUUGUCUGGCUUCCGAGUAUCACCUCGAGCACUAUACUCGUAACACAGAAAGCCAUCGUAACAUUCUCGGAACCAAAAUAAGAGAACCACAGGAUUACCUACCAUCCGCGGCUCCUUGCUCUUCUCGGAACCAAAAUAAGAGAAAACCACAGGAUUACCUACCAUCCGCGGCUCCUUGCUCUCACGUUGCUUGCAUGCGGCACAGAGGUGUCACGGCGUGUAUGUUAGCGCAGCGGCUCCUCGCUCUCACGUUGCUUGCAUGCGGCACAGAGAUGUCACGGCGUGUAUGUUAGCGCAGCGGCUCCUCGCUCUCACGUUGCUUGCAUGCGGCACAGAGAUGUCACGGCGUGUAUGUUAGCGCAGCGGCUCCUCGCUCUCACGUUGCUUGCAUGCGGCACAGAGAUGUCACGGCGUGUAUGUUAGCGCAGCGGCUCCUCGCUCUCACGUUGCUUGCAUGCGGCACAGAGAUGUCACGGCGUGUAUGUUAGCGCAGCGGCUCCUCGCUCUCACGUUGCUUGCAUGCGGCACAGAGAUGUCACGGCGUGUAUGUUAGCGCAGCGGCUCCUCGCUCUCACGUUGCUUGCAUGCGGCACAGAGAUGUCACGGCGUGUAUGUUAGCGCAGCGGCUCCUCGCUCUCACGUUGCUUGCAUGCGGCACAGAGAUGUCACGGCGUGUAUGUUAGCGCAGCGGCUCCUCGCUCUCACGUUGCUUGCAUGCGGCACAGAGAUGUCACGGCGUGUAUGUUAGCGCAGCGGCUCCUCGCUCUCACGUUGCUUGCAUGCGGCACAGAGAUGUCACGGCGUGUAUGUUAGCGCAGCGGUUCCUCGCUCUCACGUUGCUUGCAUGCGGCACAGAGGUGUCACGGCGUGUAUGUUAGCGCAGCGGCUCCUCGCUCUCACGUUGCUUGCAUGCGGCACAGAGAUGUCACGGCGUGUAUGUUAGCGCAGCGGCUCCUCGCUCUCACGUUGCUUGCAUGCGGCACAGAGCCCUCAUGUUAGCGCAGAUUCGAGCAAUUCGAAGCGAGGAGAGAGCACACAGCUGCGAGGGUUUGGCGGCGAGGGCGAAGGGAAUAAACAGGGGAAGAGUGGGCGAGGAUGUGUGGUGUGCUUGAAACCCUCGACGGAACAGAC
rnacentral:lncRNA from 1 species